rnacentral:rRNA from 1 species
CCUACGGGAGGCAGCAGUGGGGAAUAUUGGACAAUGGGGGGAACCCUGAUCCAGCGACGCCGCGUGAGUGAAGAAGUAUUUCGGUAUGUAAAGCUCUAUCAGCAGGGAAGAAAGAAAUGACGGUACCUGACUAAGAAGCCCCGGCUAACUACGUGCCAGCAGCCGCGGGAAUACGUAGGGGGCAAGCGUUAUCCGGAUUUACUGGGUGUAAAGGGAGCGUAGACGGCGAUGCAAGUCUGAUGUGAAAGGCGGGGGCCCAACCCCCGGACUGCUUUGGAAACUGUAUGGCUGGAGUGCAGGAGAGGUAAGUGGAAUUCCUGGUGUAGCGGUGAAAUGCGUAGAUAUUAGGAGGAACACCAGUGGCGAAGGCGGCUUACUGGACUGUAACUGACGUUGAGGCUCGAAAGCGUGGGGAGCAAACAGGAUUAGAUACCCCAAUAGUC